GGGGGUGCCUGGUUUUGACAGCGUAGAUCUUUGAAGGUGUAAGCAUGUCGUGCGUUGGAUAAUUAGCACGUUAAUCUGAAUAUUCAAAACUUCAAAUGGCAAUACACAGUAUGCCAUGGCUGCCUAAUCAGUGAUUAGAUAGUCAUUAGGGCCGCUUGAGUGGGUCUGUCUGCCACCCGCUCCGCCGCCGACUCAAAACAAGCGCAGAAUGCUGCAAUCAAAGGCUGUGAUGAUUGCUUAAGACUAUUCAGCUAAGGUUGAUAUUGGUGUGUCCAUCUCCUGUAUCAACCCGACAACUAAUGAUGGAAUAAGCAUGUAGAAAGCUUUCGACGAAUAUGUUUGGACAGGGGUUCGAUUCCCCUCACCUCCACCU
rnacentral:tmRNA from 1 species